CAAUCUCCCCAUCCACCGGCGAGCACCCUUGGCCGCUUCCUCCUCGACCUCUGCCACAUCGAGUGUCGGCUUCCUUCCCCGACCCAAGUCACCGCUCCCAGACAACCUCCGCCGCGCCCCCAACACUGCCUCCCGACACUUUCUCUCCGAGCAGCACCGCGGCCAGCUCCCCCGCCAUCGUCUACUUGCUCGCUUCCUCAAGCAGCGCCGACUCAUCCAGGAGCUCCUCCCGUCAGCAGCACCUCCUCCUCUAGGAGUCUCCACUACGAACCAGUCCUCCACCAAAUUGUUUGUUUGUUCUAUGAGCAGCGUGCAUCUUCUUUGUCCUCUCCACCAAGCAGUGUCGACUGCGCC
rnacentral:rRNA from 1 species